AGAGUUUGAUCCUGGCUCAGGAUGAACGCUGACAGAAUGCUUAACACAUGCAAGUCUACUUGAACUUCGGUUUGGGUGGCGGACGGGUGAGUAACGCGUAAAGAACUUGCCUCACAGUUAGGGACAACAUUUGGAAACGAAUGCUAAUACCUGAUAUUAUGAUUUUAGGGCAUCCUAAGAUUAUGAAAGCUAUAUGCGCUGUGAGAGAGCUUUGCGUCCCAUUAGCUAGUUGGAGAGGUAACGGCUCACCAAGGCGAUGAUGGGUAGCCGGCCUGAGAGGGUGAACGGCCACAAGGGGACUGAGACACGGCCCUUACUCCUACGGGAGGCAGCAGUGGGGAAUAUUGGACAAUGGACCAAAAGUCUGAUCCAGCAAUUCUGUGUGCACGAUGACGUUUUUCGGAAUGUAAAGUGCUUUCAGUUGGGAAGAAAAAAAUGACGGUACCAACAGAAGAAGUGACGGCUAAAUACGUGCCAGCAGCCGCGGUAAUACGUAUGUCACAAGCGUUAUCCGGAUUUAUUGGGCGUAAAGCGCGUCUAGGUGGUUAUGUAAGUCUGAUGUGAAAAUGCAGGGCUCAACUCUGUAUUGCGUUGGAAACUGCAUGACUAGAGUACUGGAGAGGUAAGCGGAACUACAAGUGUAGAGGUGAAAUUCGUAGAUAUUUGUAGGAAUGCCGAUGGGGAAGCCAGCUUACUGGACAGAUACUGACGCUAAAGCGCGAAAGCGUGGGUAGCAAACAGGAUUAGAUACCCUGGUAGUCCACGCCGUAAACGAUGAUUACUAGGU
rnacentral:rRNA from 1 species